AACAGCCACGUACCAGAGAGAAGGAGACACAGAGCAGAGCUCCCGGACAACCCAUCGUGGACAGCAUGCCUGGUUGAGUACACCAAGAUUAUUCGUUCGUGAGGCCUUUCUCCAAUUCUGUCUGUACUGCGAAGGGAAUGUGACAGGAGUCAAACAGCUUCAGAACCAAUUAUCUGAAUUAGAUUCUUCGUGCUGGAACUUUUCUGCUGUGAAGAGUAAUUAAAAUUUUUGGAAUCCCCAGAUCUUCAUUGUAGAAUGAGAAUAACACCCGUCUCAGAGGGCUGUGGGGGGAAAUGCUGAGAAUCAUCAGUUUUGUGAUUUAUACCUUGCCCAUCAGGAGGGAGAAACAUACAUUCAUUCGUUUGCAUCCUACAAUGCAUAUAUCACAUGGAAUGAUGUGUUUAUCUUCUCACUCUCCACCUCCCCCAGGAAAUGUAAGCUCCAGGAAGUAAAAAACACGAAAACUGAACUAAUGAGUUCAACACUGAGCCAAGCCAACGUUAUUAGUUCCUUGCGUCCACCGGGCUGCACAUCACCUCUGCUGUACUGGCUUCAAUGCACACUUGGCUCUUCUGCGGACAGAUUCAGUGAGGUUUCCCUCCCAGCUCAUUGGAGAAAACUGCAGACCUGCCCUUUGGUGAUGUCACCGCUUUUCGGAUCAGGAAGCUUUGUCAGGGGCCAGCCAGAGCAAAGAAAGCUGCUGCCUGUCCCAGCCCUGGUGCGUCACCCAUCCCUGGCCAGAUGAGUCACUGCUGCAAGGGCCCAGCCAAAUUGAAAUCUCCUUGAAUGAAAAGGGCCUUGAAAUGCAGGAAUAGAACACGUUCUUUGAAUUUCCACUUGCAAUGGGCAUAGUAGGCAUUUCCAGACACAACACUGGCAUUUUCCU